GAUGAACGCUGGCGGCGUGCCUAAUACAUGCAAGUCGAGCGAACAGACGAGGAGCUUGCUCCUCUGACGUUAGCGGCGGACGGGUGAGUAACACGUGGAUAACCUACCUAUAAGACUGGGAUAACUUCGGGAAACCGGAGCUAAUACCGGAUAAUAUAUUGAACCGCAUGGUUCAAUAGUGAAAGACGGUUUUGCUGUCACUUAUAGAUGGAUCCGCGCCGCAUUAGCUAGUUGGUAAGGUAACGGCUUACCAAGGCGACGAUGCGUAGCCGACCUGAGAGGGUGGUCGGCCACACUGGAAGUGAGACACGGUCCAGACUCCGACGGGAGGCAGCAGUAGGGAAUCUUCCGCAAUGGGCGAAAGCCUGACGGAGCAACGCCGCGUGAGUGAUGAAGGUCUUCGGAUCGUAAAACUCUGUUAUUAGGGAAGAACAAAUGUGUAAGUAACUAUGCACGUCUUGACGGUACCUAAUCAGAAAGCCACGGCUAACUACGUG
rnacentral:rRNA from 1 species